ensembl:lincRNA
GUGCUCAGCGGACCAGUGGGUCCUGCUACCCUGAAGCCUCGGUUCCCCCAGAGAGACCGGGCCUGCCUCGGCAGCUCCUGGCUCCCUGUGCCUCGGUUUCCCCGUCCCAGAGGAGGUGGUCCUGAGGCUCUGACUCUGCUGUGGGGUGCUCUGGAGGACAGCUGUGUGGCAGGGCCACGCCCGCUGUCCUCUCUCGCCUGCUGCACUGGGGCUGAACCAGAGGUGCCCGGUGUCUGCAGGCCACACCCUGUGGUGUUCAUCCUUCUGGUCAAACACACUGAGCAGAAAGUGAGGCGCUGGACCUUGCGGCCAGAAGCUCCCCUCACACACAGGAGCCCCGGCCUGCUUUCCCGGAAAGCUCUCGUGAGGACCCCGUACCUCCACUGAGGCCCAGGGCCCUGGGCAGCCGCACCGCUCCCCACAUCUUGAUGGGCCCCACUCCUUAAGGCCAGGCUCCUGAGGGAGUGACGCCUCCCCGGAGGAAGACUGGGCCAACACAGGCAUGUGGCCAGCUUGGCUCUGCCCACCGGUGGGGGAGCUGCCCCGUGCCGGAGCAGGUGUGGCACAGGCGGGCAGUGUGGGUCUGGGGCUCACGAGUGCAGAGGGGCAGGGCGCACUCACUCGAGGAGUGCAGAGCGAGGCGGAGGUCAGGCUGCGCUUGGGGCGCUCCACAUCGCUGGGGGCAGGGGAAGGAGGAAGACCCCAGGGAAGUUGGACAGCGGAGAGGCAGGAAAGCCUGGGGCGCAGCAGACACCAGGAAGCUGGUUCCGGAGCAGGGCAGGCUGCAGGGUGGCCAUCACCCCACGCAGGGAGACUGGGCACUGGCCACGGCGGAGCCACCUCGACGCCACCAGAGAUCUCACCAGGAGCACCUUCGACAGCGUGCAGGACAGGAGUGACCGGGGGCCUCUUGUUCCCAGAACCCGCUGUCCCCUUGGGAGGCAGCGAUGGAGCCCGUAAAGCUGCCGCCCUCACAGCACCGCGAGGCACAGGGCUAACAGCUGCGUGGAUGGUUUGGAGGCGCUGCCAGAUGGAGAAGCUGAGACCCGAGACUGCCGCUGGCCGGGAGCACAGCCAGGUUCCCAGCCGGGAUGUCCACCCCCUCUGCAGCCUGGUCAGCGGCACUGGGGUCUGGGCUCUGGGCGGCCAUUCCUCCUGGACCUCAGAGCCCAGACCCCUCCUCUGCAUGACCCGAGCGUCCACCACCGGGCACCGCUGCAGUUCAGGAACAGCUAACAGCCUGGAGAUCUGGCAGGCGGUGGCUGGAGUCACGGGGUCACCCUGGAGCCCACCGGGACCCCGUGCCACCUGGCCUGGCUCGGCUGCAGCCCUGGGGGCACCUGCUUGUCAUCCCCACUGCUGGUCUCAGCCUGCCUGGAUGCAGACGCACAGGCUCUGUCCUGACUCUGUCUCCUCGCCAGCCGUGAGUGGGAGCCCAUCCCCUCCGGCGUCCUCUUUCACUCCUAUGUGGGCGGUGGCUCCCGAGGCCCUUGUGCACCACCCAGCCCAGGCCCUGAGCCCUGGGGCCCGCACGGCUCAGCCCUUGCCGGAGAAUGAGACAGCACACGGGUCCCAUGUGCAUCUCCACCUCCCUGCAGACAGAGCAGGAGGGUGGUGUGAGCCACUUGUCCCCCUGCCCGAGUCCCCUGCGUCCUCGGUCCCACCGGAGGGAAGGAUCCUGGCAGGCCCUCCGAGACCCGCUCCUCGGGAGGCGUUGUCGCUGUGGGCACGUGAAUGUGGGAGGACCGCUCCUUUCUUUUCUUUUUUUAUCACCAUCGUGGUGGCUGGGAGUGAGGGGGCCGGGGAGAGAGACUCAGAGAUGGGCCCCGGGCCAGGGCCCAUGGCCUGGGCUCCAAUGGGUGGCACUAGCAUCCUGGCACCAUGCAGAUGGUGGGACACCCCCAGCCAGCCAGCUUACGGGGCCCGGGGCAAGGGAGGAGUGUCCGCUUCAGGAUGGGUCCUGGAAAGCCCACCUGUAGGAGGGCCACGGGGGGGGGGGGCAGGAGCUGGCCAGGAGAGGCAGCCCUCUUUGGGGGCAUUGGAUGCGCUAUGUUCUGGGCACCCCACCAUCUUCUGGGCUGGUCUCCCUUCCUCCAGCUGGCCUGCCAGCUGGCUUCCCCCGUCCUCCUUCCAGUCCCAGUUUAGUUGCUGCUUCUUCCAAGCAGCCUUCCCUGACUUCCCCAGGAUUAAGGAGUCCUGCCGUGAGCUCCUGCUGGCCCCUGGGCCCACCCAGGGCACCAAUCACCUGGAACGCAGUUAUCCAACUCAGAGGCUUUGA